rnacentral:misc_RNA from 1 species
GAUGAAGAACGCAGCGAAAUGCGAUAAGUAAUGUGAAUUGCAGAAUUCAGUGAAUCAUCGAAUCUUUGAACGCACAUUGCGCCCGCCAGUAUUCUGGCGGGCAUGCCUGUCUGAGCGUCAUUUCAACCCUCAUGCCCCUAGGGCGUGGUGUUGGGGAUCGGCCAAAGCCCGCGAGGGACGGCCGGCCCCUAAAUCUAGUGGCGGACCCGUCGUGGCCUCCUCUGCGAAGUAGUGAUAUUCCGCAUCGGAGAGCGAUGAGCCCCUGCCGUUAAAACCCCAACUUUCCAAGGUUGACCUCAGAUCAGGUAGGAAUACCCGCUGAACUUAAGCAUAUCAAUAAGCGGAGGA